rnacentral:rRNA from 1 species
GAUGAACGCUGGCGGCGUGCCUAAUACAUGCAAGUCGAGCGAACAGACGAGGAGCUUGCUCCUCUGACGUUAGCGGCGGACGGGUGAGUAACACGUGGAUAACCUACCUAUAAGACUGGGAUAACUUCGGGAAACCGGAGCUAAUACCGGAUAAUAUAUUGAACCGCAUGGUUCAAUAGUGAAAGACGGUUUUGCUGUCACCUAUAGAUGGAUCCGCGCCGCAUUAGCUAGUUGGUAAGGUAACGGCUUACCAAGGCAACGAUGCGUAGCCGACCUGAGAGGGUGAUCGGCCACACGGGAACUGAGACACGGUCCAGACUCCUACGGGAGGCAGCAGUAGGGAAUCUUCCGCAAAGGGCGAAAGCCUGACGGAGCAACGCCGCGUGAGUGAUGAAGGUCUUCGGAUCGUAAAACUCUGUGAUUAGGGAAGAACAAAUGUGUAAGUAACUAUGCACGUCUUGACGGUACCUAAUCAGAAAGCCACGGCUAACUACGUG